UACAGAGGUCUCAAGCGUUGUUCGGAUUCAUUGGGCGUAAAGGGUGCGUAGGUGGCGUCGUAAGUCAGGUGUGAAAUCUCGGGGCUCAACCCCGAAACUGCACUUGAUACUGCGAUGCUCGAGUACUGGAGAGGAGACUGGAAUUUACGGUGUAGCGGUGAAAUGCGUAGAUAUCGUAAGGAAGACCAGUGGCGAAGGCGGGUCUCUGGACAGUUCCUGACGCUGAGGCACGAAGGCCAGGGGAGCAAACGGG
rnacentral:rRNA from 1 species